CAAAUGCAGAAGACUUUUGGGAUCAGUUGCUUCAAGUCACAUGAGAGAAUGGACUAGGAGCUUAUUUAGAAAAGUGCUUUUUAAAAGUUAUUCAAAUUUAGAGUUCCCAGCCGAUGUGGCAGAAAGCAAAGGACGUCAGCAAAUCUUAUUAAUAUGCUGAUGCUACAGCUUCAGAAGUGUACAGAAUGCCCAUUUGGAUCAGGGCUAAGAGCACAGCAUGGAGUUGCUAUGGAGACGUGGGGAGGCCAUUAAUUAGCUCUCACAUGAAAUCAUCAAGAAGAGUCCGGACCACAGAAGCUCUGCCCUCCUUGGAAGCCAAGGGCACGGCCCUGCUGACCCCCAGCCUCCCCUCUGCAGCUCCAGCAGCAGUGUCCUGCAGCAGACAUGUCCUGCAAGCAUCAGAGGUAGGUGCACAAGGAGUAAGGGGAAGGUGAUGAUAAGGGUAAACAAAAGAUGGAUGUUGUUCCCUCUCUUAUUUUCCUCCUCUCAGAAAGCCUGUUUGCUGUUGCAGAAAAGAACACAAGAGAUGUGCUGCUUUUGGGGCCAAUGGGACUCAUGACCGUGACCUCAAAAAAAUCAGGGCUGGCCACAAGGCUCUGAUAAGCUCAGCUAGAGGGGUCAGUGUCUGCCUGGGUGAGCUGCACCCGAGAACGCCAAUGGUUCUUGGUGCUAUCCUGCUCCUCUGAGCAAUUUCUGGCCAUGCAAACCAGCGUUUCCCUUCCCCUAAGGGAAACACGGGCAAAGAAGGGAGGUUUGUUGGCCACGUGCCCAGCCUCCCCAGAGAGCCAGAUCCACCUCCAGCCCAGGCUGUGCGUGCAUGUUCCCGUGACAGCUGUGACGGACUUCAGCUGCCAUGCACAGGAUGUUCUUUUUAGCCCACUUGCUAAAACACCACUCAGGAGGACAUUUGGCAGAUGGCAUCUCCUGCACUAGAGCACACUGCAAGAUCCCCAGCCUGACUGCUCAGCUCUCAGCGCUGAGUGGCAACCCAGACUGUGCACUCCAGGCUCCAGCUAAAGCACUUUCCUCAAUCUUGUUGAAAGGAAAAAAGGCACAAGGUUCAUGUGCUGCAAGUUCUUGUCUGAAAGCAGAGACAGAGGAAGUGGAGAUAGCAGCUGGGUGUCAGGGGAGAGGCACGAGGGAGACAAGACAGGAGAUACUGCAUACGGAGGUCAUGAACAAGACAUUUCCACAUUCCUUCCAGCCUGGAGGGUUUGAAAUGGACCUGCUGGACCCAGACAGAUCAUGGCUUGGAUGAAAGCCCGUUGAAGACAACUGGAAUUUUCUUACUGACUUCUGGAAGAUACUGUUGAAAGCGGGAAACACUAAGGAUAACACAACUUAGCUGCAGCUUUCCGCCUGGGGUUUGGUGAUGGGCUAAGUGACUUCAACUUAUCCUCCCAAUAGGCUUUAGUUUCUCUGACUCUAUGAAACUUGAGAAAUCCAUCUCAGCACCAUUUUGAAGGACAAAGAUCUGCUGAUCCCAGGAGGAAGCACAAAAUGGCCCUUUGAAAGGGUCAUCUACUG
rnacentral:lncRNA from 1 species